rnacentral:lncRNA from 1 species
CUGAAUUUGCCCUUUCUCUGAAGCAAGCCUUUGAAGUACUCUUUAGGAAAUAUUUCCUUAAGAUAGAGAGUAUCACAAGUGAUAGAUCCUAAGUAUUAUUAAGACAUAAGAUUUUGUCAUUUCUGUUUAAUGGGUGAACCACAAUCUGAAAAUGCCCAGACAGCAAAUGACAGAGGUAAAUGGAACCAAACGUCAGAGCCAGAACAGUUUGAGGGAGACUUGAAACUCAGACUCCACCGUCCAGGGGG